GAUGAACGCUGGCGGCGUGCCUAACACAUGCAAGUCGAACGAGAAGUUAACCGCUGAUUCCUUCGGGAUGAGGAGGUUAGCAGAAAGUGGCGAACGGGUGAGUAACGCGUGGGUAAUCUACCCUGUAAGUGGGGGAUAACCCUCCGAAAGGAGGGCUAAUACCGCAUAAUAUCUUCACUUCUAAAAGAAGAGAAGAUUAAAGAUGGCCUCUGUCUUAAGCCAUCACUUCAGGAUGAGCCUGCGUCCUAUUAGUUAGUUGGUGGGGUAAUGGCCUACCAAGACCACAAUGGGUAGCCGGUCUGAGAGGAUGUACGGCCACACUGGGACUGAGAUACGGCCCAGACUCCUACGGGAGGCAGCAGUGGGGAAUAUUGCGCAAUGGGGGAAACCCUGACGCAGCGACGCCGCGUGGAUGAUGAAGGCCUUUGGGUUGUAAAAUCCUGUUUUGGGGGAAGAAACCUUAAGGGUCCAAUAAACCC
rnacentral:rRNA from 1 species